GCUGGGCAUGGUGGCUCAUGCCUGUAAUCCCAGCACUUUGGGAGGCUGAGGCAGGAGGAUCACUUGAGCCCAGGAGUUUGAGACCAGCCUGGGCAACAUGGCGAGACCCUGUCUCUA
rnacentral:SRP_RNA from 1 species